rnacentral:rRNA from 1 species
GGCGGACGGGUGAGUAACGCGUAAAGAACUUGCCCUUUAGACUGGGAUAACAGAGGGAAACUUCUGAUAAUACUGGAUAAGUUAGUAUAUCGCAUGAUAUGCAAAUGAAAGCUACGGCACUAAAGGAGAGCUUUGCGUCCUAUUAGCUAGUUGGUAAGGUAAGAGCUUACCAAGGCGAUGAUAGGUAGCCGGCCUGAGAGGGUGGACGGCCACAAGGGGACUGAGAUACGGCCCUUACUCCUACGGGAGGCAGCAGGA